rnacentral:rRNA from 1 species
GAUGAACGCUAGCUACAGGCUUAACACAUGCAAGUCGAGGGGAAACGACAUCGAAAGCUUGCUUUUGAUGGGCGUCGACCGGCGCACGGGUGAGUAGCGCGUAUCCAACCUGCCCACCACUUGGGGAUAACCUUGCGAAAGUAAGACUAAUACCCAAUGACGUCUCUAGAAGACAUCUGAAAGAGAUUAAAGAUUUAUCGGUGAUGGAUGGGGAUGCGUCUGAUUAGCUUGUUGGCGGGGUAACGGCCCACCAAGGCGACGAUCAGUAGGGGUUCUGAGAGGAAGGUCCCCCACAUUGGAACUGAGACACGGUCCAAACUCCUACGGGAGGCAGCAGUGAGGAAUAUUGGUCAAUGGACGAGAGUCUGAACCAGCCAAGUAGCGUGCAGGAUGACGGCCCUAUGGGUUGUAAACUGCUUUUAUAAGGGAAUAAAGUGAGUCUCGUGAGACUUUUUGCAUGUACCUUAUGAAUAAGGACCGGCUAAUUCCGUG